rnacentral:lncRNA from 1 species
AAACAACCCAACAAGCUAACAGCUUUUCAGACCCUGAAGGGGGUGGAGGAGUGUGGUAAUAAAAUGGGAAGUAAGGAACAAUGGGGUUCGGAGGUGGCGGUGUUGGGUAGUUUUUGUACGUCGGUGGAGGGUAGUACAUGCCGCCAAUGACACCACCAGGCGGUGGGGGAGCAUAGUUGUUGUUGUUACCCCCGGAUUGAGCUGGUGGUGGUGGAGAGUAGUAGUAGCUGCCACCACCACUAGAGGUGGGUGGAGAUGGAGGUGGUGGGCAGUAGUUGGGGUUAUUAGCGGGAGGAGGUGGCGAAGCUGCAGGCGGCGGUGGAGACGGUGGCGGCGGAGAUGGGACUUGCUGCUGGCAAGGGGUGCAUUUUAUGGGAUCGGUACUAGUUUCUUCUGAAAGUACUGAACUCAGUAGCAUCAUCAGCAAUGUCGAAACGACAGUGAUCG